GACGAACGCUGGCGGCGGGCUUAACACAUGCAAGUCGAACGGAAAGGCCCUGCUUUUGUGGGGUGCUCGAGUGGCGAACGGGUGAGUAACACGUGAGUAACCUGCCCUGUACUUUGGGAUAACUUCAGGAAACUGGGGCUAAUACCGGAUAGGAGCUCCUGCUGCAUGGGGGGGGUUGGACAGUUUCGGCGGUUGGGGAUGGACUCGCGGCUUAUCAGCUUGUUGGGGGGGUAGUGGCUUACCAAGGCUUUGACGGGUAGCCGGCCUGGGUGGGUGACCGGCCACAUUGGGACUGAGAUACGGCCCAGACUCCUACGGGAGGCAGCAGUGGGGAAUAUUGCACAAUGGGCGGAAGCCUGAUGCAGCAACGCCGCGUGCGGGAUGACGGCCUUCGGGUUGUAAAACGCUUUCGCCUGUGACGAAGCGUGAGUGACGGUAAUGGGUAAAGAAGCACCGGCUAACUACGUG
rnacentral:rRNA from 1 species